UACGAAGGGGGCAAGCGUUGUUCGGAAUUACUGGGCGUAAAGCGCUCGCAGGUGGUUCGUUGCGUCGUGCGUGAAAGACCCCGGCUCAACUGGGGAGGGUCGUGCGAUACGGGCGAACUGGAGGCCAGUAGGGGGAUGCGGAAUUCCGGGUGUAGUGGUGGAAUGCGUAGAGAUCCGGAGGAACACCAGCGGCGAAGGCGGCAUCCUGGACUGGUCCUGACACUCAUGAGCGAAAGCGUGGGGAGCGAUCCGG
rnacentral:rRNA from 1 species